rnacentral:rRNA from 1 species
UGAGCAAUCUGCCCUUCUCUUUGGAAUAAGCGUUGGAAACGACGUCUAAUGCCGAAUACGACCUCCUUUCGCAUGAUCGGAGGUGGAAAGCUCCGGCGGAGAAGGAUGAGCUCGCGGCCUAUCAGCUAGUUGGUGAGGGUAAUGGCCCACAAGGCGACGACGGGUAGCCGGCCUGAGGAGGGUGACCGGCCACACUGGGACUGAGACACGGCCCAGACCUCCGUACGGGAGGNAGCG